rnacentral:rRNA from 1 species
AACGAACGCUGGCGGCAGGCCUAACACAUGCAAGUCGAACGCCGUAGCAAUACGGAGUGGCAGACGGGUGAGUAACACGUGGGAACGUACCUUUCGGUUCGGAAUAACUCAGGGAAACUUGAGCUAAUACCGGAUACGUGCGAGAGCAGAAAGAUUUAUCGCCGAAAGAUCGGCCCGCGUCCGAUUAGCUUGUUGGUGAGGUAAUGGCUCACCAAGGCGACGAUCGGUAGCUGGUCUGAGAGGAUGAUCAGCCACACUGGGACUGAGACACGGCCCAGACUCCUACGGGAGGCAGCAGUGGGGAAUAUUGGACAAUGGGCGAAAGCCUGAUCCAGCCAUGCCGCGUGAGUGAUGAAGGCCUUAGGGUUGUAAAGCUCUUUUGUCCGGGAAGAUAAUGACGGUACCGGAAGAAUAAGCCCCGG